GGAGGGCCAUAGCUCAGUGCUAGAGCAUCUGCUUUGCAUGCAGAAGGUCUCAUGUUCAAUCCCCAGCAACUCCA